rfam:Medicago truncatula strain A17 chromosome 1, whole genome shotgun sequence.
ACUCAAUGAUGAUAAAUCUAAGGCUUGUUUCUCAAAACAUUCGCAGUGGCUGCCUAAUAGCUUUCGCCUUCGCCAGGCUUGAGAGCUAAUGCAGUUACUUUCCUUCCUUGGAUGUCUGAGGUU